AUUGAACGCUGGCGGCAUGCUUUACACAUGCAAGUCGAACGGUAACAGGGUGCUUGCACCGCUGACGAGUGGCGAACGGGUGAGUAAUGCGUCGGAACGUGCCGAGCAGUGGGGGAUAACGCAGCGAAAGUUGUGCUAAUACCGCAUACGUACUGAGGUAGAAAGUGGGGGACCUUCGGGCCUCACGCUAUUCGAGCGGCCGACGUCUGAUUAGCUAGUAGGUGAGGUAAAGGCUCACCUAGGCGACGAUCAGUAGCGGGUCUGAGAGGAUGAUCCGCCAGACUGGGACUGAGACACGGCCCAGACUCCUACGGGAGGCAGCAGUGGGGAAUUUUGGACAAUGGGCGAAAGCCUGAUCCAGCCAUGCCGCGUGUCUGAAGAAGGCCUUCGGGUUGUAAAGGACUUUUGUCAGGGAGGAAAUCCCUAGUGCUAAUAACACUGGGGGAUGACAGUACCUGAAGAAUAAGCACCGGCUAACUACGUGCCAGCCGCCGCCGUAACAC
rnacentral:rRNA from 1 species